GUUGUAUUUGUAUAUGAAUACUUAUUACAGCAUGGUAUGUUAUGUUUUUUCUUAAUGCACAGAUUUUUUUUAUUUUAACUUUUAUUAAAGAGUAAACUACUUUUUACUAAAAGUCAACACAAUAAACAUACAUGCUCUAGUGCCACAUGCUAUGAAAUAAAAAAAAUACAUAUAUAUUUCCCUGAAGGACACGGUUCAAUUUUGGCUUGAAUUUCAAGUUAAUAAAAUAUGAAAAGGCCCCAAUUUGAUUCUUAAUUGGAAAUAUGAAAAAUAUUUCAAUAGCUUUAAUACUUUAGGUAAGGCAAAUUUCUUAAUCUUUAUAUUAAAGGCUAGAAAGGCAGCACAUUAUGGUUAUAUUUUGUGCAUUUUUCAACUACAAAGCUUUAAAAACUUAGACAACGAUAUGCAAUUCAAAAUGUUCUUUAAAUGAAAGGUGCCAAGGUUUGAUUUGAGUCUCAAGGCACAAUAUUUCCUGGAUCAGGG
rnacentral:lncRNA from 1 species